rnacentral:tRNA from 1 species
CGGGAGGAACGCGUCUUGUCGGCGCGGACCCGCUGGGGCCGGGUCCGCGGUCGGCCGCCGUCCGGCCGGGCGGUGCGGAUGCCGGCCCUCAUCGCC